UAACGAAACAAAUUUUUUUUUUCUCUCUCUCUCUCUGAAGAACGCUUCGACGACGGUGGAGGAGAUUCAUGUUAAACAAUCUUAAGAUUUGAUCUAGGGUUUUGAAGCACAUUCGACGGCUUGGUUUCUUCAUCUGAUUCGAAGUUCUCUAUUUCACUUUGAUGGGCAAACGGAGAUUAUGUUUCAGUCUAACCCAUGAAGCUUGUCUCAGCUUUCGACGAGGUAUAUGACUUUGAGUAGAGUUUAAGUGUAGCAGACUUCUUGACAGGCGAAUAUGUUUGCUACUUUUGCGAGGUUGUCUGUCGAGGAUUCUAGGAAAGCUUUUGUCUUCGAAGUUACCAGCUUCUUUCUUGCGUUUACAUUGAUGUGUUUGCAUCGACUUACAUAUCUUUCUCGUGUAUUUACUCAGUUGACUUGGCCGAGCUAUCACUUGAAAAAGAUAUGGUUUUAUGUUGAUAAGGUAAGUGCUUUGAAAGAUGUUGAUAUUCUCAUUGAUGCCAUGGAGAUUUUGUAAGUGUAGCAGAACUUAUUAUCUUAGUUGUCUUAAUAGCAUAACUAUCCUUUGAUCUAUCCUGUAAAAUUCUAGAAACUUAUUGUAUCAUUGAUAAGAAAAAAUGUUGAUUUUACUUCUGUGAGGCAGAUAAGGAAGAGUGUAUUAAUCAUUGGUAA